GACUCUCGGCAACAGAUAUCUCAGCUCUCGCAUCAAUGAAGAACGUAGCGAAAUACGGUACUUGGUGUGAAUUGCAGAAUCCCGUGAACCAUUGAGUCUUUGAAUGCAAGUUGCGCCCGAAGCCAUUAGGCCGAGGGCACGUCUGCCUGGGUGUCA
rnacentral:rRNA from 1 species